GACGAACGCUGGCGGCGUGCCUAAUACAUGCAAGUCGAGCGAACGGACGAGAGGCUUGUUUCUUUGAUGUUAGCGGCGGACGGGUGAGUAACACGUGUAUAACCUACUUAUAAGACUGGGAUAACUUCGGGAAUCCGGAGCUUAUACCGGAUAAUAUUUUGAACCGCAUGGUUCAAAAGUGAAAGACGGUCUUGCUGUCACUUAUAGAUGGGUCCGCGCUGCAUUAGCUAGUUGGUAAGGUAACGGCUUUCCAAGGCAACGAUGCAUAGCCGACGUGUGAGGGUGAACGUCCACGCAGGAACUGAAACACGGUCCUGACUCCUAAGGGACGGAUCAGAAGUCAACCUUACGCAAUGGGCGAGAGUCUUGCAGAGCAACACCGCGUGAGUGAUGACGGUCCUCGGAGCGUAAAACUCUGUUAGAAGGUAUGAACAGAUGUGGCAGGAUCCGUGCACAUAUUGACGGUACCUAGUCAAGAAGCCACGGCUAACUACGUG
rnacentral:rRNA from 1 species